rnacentral:rRNA from 1 species
UACGAAGGGGGCUAGCGUUGCUCGGAAUGACUGGGCGUAAAGGGCGCGUAGGCGGUUCGGACAGUCGGGCGUGAAAUUCCUGGGCUUAACCUGGGGGCUGCGCUCGAUACAUUUGGACUUGAGUGAGGAAGAGGGUUGUGGAAUUCCCAGUGUAGAGGUGAAAUUCGUAGAUAUUGGGAAGAACACCGGUGGCGAAGGCGGCAACCUGGUCCUUGACUGACGCUGAGGCGCGAAAGCGUGGGGAGCAAACAG